CGUUAACGUCGACACCAUAUUGGAGCGGGCAACUCUAAAACUCAUAUCAGAACAGAAGAAAACAUAUCUGACCCUUCGGUAAACAUCUACAAACCGUCACACAAUAAUAAAAACAAAUCUCUGGAUAUUAUCUUUCACAGAUACCCGUGAUCCUGAAGGCCGACGAGAGCCCCAGAGCAGUCGUGCUUCACGCCGGGGUUAACGACACCACGCUGUGGCAGGCGGAGACGCUGAAGAGGGACUUCAGCAGCCUGAUCGAGACGGUUCGCAGCGCGAUGCCCGCGGCGACGAUCAUCGUGUCAGGACCACUGCCCACGUAUCGACGAGGACACGAAAGGUUCAGUAGACUUUUUGCUUUAAAUGAAUGGUUGUUGUUAUGGUGUAAAGAAAAGAAACUGUUAUUUGUUAAUAACUGGAAUCUUUUCUGGGAGAGUCCUAGGCUGUUUCGCGCUGAUGGAUUACACCCCAGCAGAAUCGGAGCGGAGCUGCUCUCUGACAUCAUCUCCAGGACACUUCACUCCAUGUGACUAAUACUUCAGACCGGCCAGAGGGUGUUCCUACCUCGUCUCCAAGCCAGCCUUGACUCCUUUACUAGUGGGUGGAAUAACCAUCCUCUCCGCACAUAGAGUAAUCGAAGCCCAGACCAGUUGUGGGAAAUUGGACUCCUGCAAAACCCUGUCACUCCUCCAGUCCUAUCUGAGAUUGCACAAGACGGCGACUCUGACUGGGACACAGACAGUAUCUCUGACCAGCCGUGGACAGGAAUUGUAGUUCCUCCAGUCAAAUGCCCCUUAACUUAAGAACUUAUAGGCCCAAAUUCAAACUUCUUUAACCCAAACUCAAACUCUCAAAACUAUGGAAGAGACCAGUAUUUAUAAGUUUUAAAUUUUGUGCUGCUUCAUUCUUAAUUUACACUAAAUCAGUCAUUGAAAUGACUAGUGACCAAAUGAUCCAUUUACAAGCAAAUUAACAUCCAAGUCAAUAAAAAACAAAUUUAAGGUGACA